UACGAAGGGGGCUAGCGUUGCUCGGAAUCACUGGGCGUAAAACGCACGUAGGCGGACUCUUAAGUCGGUGGUGAAAUCCUGGAGCUCAACUCCAGAACUGCCUUCGAUACUGGGAGUCUCGAGUCCGGGAGAGGUGAGUGGAACUGCGAGUGUAGAGGUGAAAUUCGUAGAUAUUCGCAAGAACACCAGUGGCGAAGGCGGCUCACUGGCCCGGUACUGACGCUGAGGUGCGAAAGCGUGGGGAGCAAACAGG
rnacentral:rRNA from 1 species